GCCCUAAUAGCUCAGUGGUAGAGCGACUGGCUGUUAACCAGUAGGUCGCAGGUUCGAUCCCUGCUUAGGGCGCCA
rnacentral:tRNA from 1 species